CAGUCGCCGGGGAACACGUAGGGUGCGAGCGUUAAUCGGAAUUACUGGGCGUAAAGCGUGCGCAGGCGGUGCUGCAAGACCGAUGUGAAAGCCCCGGGCUUAACCUGGGAACUGCAUUGGUGACUGCAGCGCUGGAGUAUGGCAGAGGGGGGUGGAAUUCCACGUGUAGCAGUGAAAUGCGUAGAGAUGUGGAGGAACACCGAUGGCGAAGGCAGCCCCCUGGGCCAAUACUGACGCUCAUGCACGAAAGCGUGGGGAGCAAACAGGAUUAGAUACCCCAGUAGUCCCUGUCUCUUAUACA
rnacentral:rRNA from 1 species